GACGAACGCUGGCGGCGUGCCUAAUACAUGCAAGUAGAACGCUGAAGGAGGAGCUUGCUUCUCUGGAUGAGUUGCGAACGGGUGAGUAACGCGUAGGUAACCUGCCUGGUAGCGGGGGAUAACUAUUGGAAACGAUAGCUAAUACCGCAUAAUAGUAGAUGUUGCAUGACAUUUGCUUAAAAGGUGCAAUUGCAUCACUACCAGAUGGACCUGCGUUGUAUUAGCUAGUUGGUGAGGUAACGGCUCACCAAGGCGACGAUACAUAGCCGACCUGAGAGGGUGAUCGGCCACACUGGGACUGAGACACGGCCCAGACUCCUACGGGAGGCAGCAGUAGGGAAUCUUCGGCAAUGGACGGAAGUCUGAUCGAGCAACGCCGCGUGAGUGAAGAAGGUUUUCGGAUCGUAAAGCUCUGUUGUAAGAGAAGAACGAGUGUGAGAGUGGAAAGUUCACACUGUGACGGUAUCUUACCAGAAAGGGACGGCUAACUACGUG
rnacentral:rRNA from 1 species